rnacentral:rRNA from 1 species
AGCGGCGGACGGGUGAGUAACGCGUGGGUAACCUGCCUCAUACAGGGGGAUAACAGUUGGAAACGGCUGCUAAUACCGCAUAAGCGCACAGUACCGCAUGGUACGGUGUGAAAAACUCCGGUGGUAUGAGAUGGACCCGCGUCUGAUUAGCUAGUUGGUGGGGUAACGGCCUACCAAGGCGACGAUCAGUAGCCGGCCUGAGAGGGUGACCGGCCACAUUGGGACUGAGACACGGCCCAA